ACUUUUCUAUAGAACGUGGAGCUGAACAUGUACACGUGGGUAAUAUCGGAUUCCUUGAAACCUUAUCUCCUUUAGUCAGUCAAUUAGUCCUUUAUUAACUAUUAUUAAUUUAUUAUGAUCUUUUUUUUAAUUGAAUAAUUUUAGGAUUUAGCAUUAAUUAAAACAAAUUGUCUUAUAAUAAUUCAGUAAUAAAAUAAAAUAAAAAAGCAGUGUGGAAGAUAGUUGCUGGAGAUGACCACCGGAGAGGGGGGAAUUGGAACGAGGGACUACGAACUGACAAGAACAACUGGAACUGGGUUAUCGAAAGAACUGGAAGGAUAUGGGUUGAUGAUAAUGUCUGGUCAGCAUGGAUGAACAAGCAUUAUGUCCAUGAUCGGAGCCUACAAUCGAUUGGGAAGCGUUAUGAUGUGGAAAACGAUUCUGCAAAACAGGGAAUCGAUUGCCCAAUGUAUGGAGUGUCAGGGCCGGCGCACCUACAACUGGAAGGGGAGCGGCAAUUCACGCACAAUUGCAAGCAUCAUAGAAACCAUCAGACCGCAGAGGCUAGCCGACCCAUUCGCACCGGGAAUCUGGGAAAUUCCAUCAACUUCUUUAGCGCCUCAGAUGGAAGUGUUUGGCAAUGAACGACAGGGACGAUGCAAAUCACGGACAGAUGCUCACUGUGCAUCACGGGAGAGGAAUCAAGUGAUCAAAUAUCAUCCAAUAAGAUAAGAAUAAUACACCUUGAGAUUUUAAUCAAAAUAUUGUAUACAUUUAUUGUGCUCACCAUUAGAUUAAUACUGAAAGGCAUAUAACACGGUUCCCUUAUAACAU
rnacentral:lncRNA from 1 species